rnacentral:rRNA from 1 species
UACAGAGGUCUCAAGCGUUGUUCGGAUUCAUUGGGCGUAAAGGGUGUGUAGGUGGCGCCGUAAGUCGGGUGUGAAAUUUCGGAGCUUAACUCCGAAACUGCAUUCGAUACUGCCGUGCUUGAGGACUGGAGAGGAGACUGGAAUUUACGGUGUAGCGGUGAAAUGCGUAGAUAUCGUAAGGAAGACCAGUGGCGAAGGCGGGUCUCUGGACAGUUCCUGACGCUGAGGCACGAAAGCGUGGGGAGCAAACAGG